rnacentral:misc_RNA from 1 species
UGUUCUUGAUCAGUCGGUUUAAGGUAUGGAAUUCCUUUUAUCACAUGAUUGUUUAUUCUUCACAAGUUUUCUUUCUGUUACUCGAGUAAAACUAUCAACGAGGAGUUGUAUUUGUACCCAUUACAUGUAUUACUGUGUUGCAUGAAUUUUUGCUGAGCAUACAGCUCUAAAUUACAUCACAUCCUUCUUUCCUUCAUUGAUCCAUUCUCUUCUUGACUUCGUUCCCCAAAAUAACUGAUGCAGAACAUCUCAACUUAACCACCAAACCUUUUCUCUAUGUAAGCCUGCUACGUGUGUAUGCGCCAAUGGAACCAGUCUUACUAUAAAUAUCAUUAAUGACACUAUACACCACCCCAUAACAAAUUAGAGAGAGAGAGAGAGAGA